UGGGGAAUUUUGCACAAUGGGCGCAAGCCUGAUGCAGCGACGCCGCGUGAGGGAUGAAGGCCUUCGGGUUGUAAACCUUUUUCGCUCAUGGUCAAGCCGCAGCUUUGGGUUGUGGUGAGGGUAGUGGGUAAAGAAGCGCCGGCUAACUACGUGCCAGCAGCCGCGGUAAUACGUAGGGCGCGAGCGUUGUCCGGAAUUAUUGGGCGUAAAGGGCUUGUAGGCGGUUGGCCGCGUCUGCCGUGAAAUCCUCUGGCUUAACUGGGGGCGUGCGGUGGGUACGGGUUGACUUGAGUGCGGUAGGGGAGACUGGAAUUCCUGGUGUAGCGGUGGAAUGCGCAGAUAUCAGGAGGAACACCGGUGGCGAAGGCGGGUCUCUGGGCCGUUACUGACGCUGAGAAGCGAAAGCGUGGGGAGCGAACAGG
rnacentral:rRNA from 1 species